GCGCUCGUAGCUCAGUGGAUAGAGCAAUCGCCUUCGGAGCGAUCGGUCGGGCGUUCAAAUCGCUCCGGGCGCA
rnacentral:tRNA from 1 species